UACGGAGGGUGCUAGCGUUGUUCGGAAUUACUGGGCGUAAAGCGCGUGUAGGCGGCUAGGCAAGUCGGAUGUGAAAGCCCACGGCUCAACCGUGGAAGCGCAUCCGAAACGGCCUCGCUCGAGUCUCGGAGAGGAAGGUGGAAUGCUUGGUGUAGAGGUGAAAUUCGUAGAUAUCAAGCAGAACACCUGCGGCGAAGGCGGCCUUCUGGACGAUGACUGACGCUGAGACGCGAAAGCGUGGGGAGCAAACAGG
rnacentral:rRNA from 1 species